rnacentral:rRNA from 1 species
UACGUAGGGGGCAAGCGUUGUCCGGAUUUACUGGGCGUAAAGCGCGCGUAGGCGGAACGAUCAGUCCGGUCUGGAAGCCCCCGGCUCAACCGGGGAGGGUGGCUGGAAACUGUCGUUCUUGAGGGCGAGAGAGGAGGGUGGAAUUCCUGGUGUAGCGGUGAAAUGCGUAGAGAUCAGGAGGAACACCGGUGGCGAAGGCGGGUCUCUGGGCCGAUACUGACGCUGAGGAGCGAAAGCGUGGGGAGCGAACAGG